rnacentral:misc_RNA from 1 species
CCGAGUUAGGGUCUUUUGGGCCCGACCUCCAACCCUUUGUUUAUUAUACCAUGUUGCUUUGGCGGGCCUGCCUUUCGGGGCUGCCGGGGGCAUUACUGCCCCUGGCCUGUGCCUGCCAGGAGCCUUCCUAAACUCAGUCUUUAACUGUGCUGUCUGAGUCCCAGUAUCAAAAUAUCAA